rnacentral:rRNA from 1 species
UACGGAGGGAGCUAGCGUUGUUCGGAAUUACUGGGCGUAAAGCGCGCGUAGGCGGCGACCUUUGUCAGAGGUGAAAUCCCGAGGCUCAACUUCGGAAUUGCCUUUGAAACGGGGUUGCUUGAGUCCGAGAGAGGGUGGCGGAAUUCCUAGUGUAGAGGUGAAAUUCGUAGAUAUUAGGAAGAACACCGGUGGCGAAGGCGGCCACCUGGCUCGGUACUGACGCUCAGGCGCGAAAGCCAGGGGAGCAAACGGG